rnacentral:lncRNA from 1 species
AUCCUGAUACGGGCCUCUUAGGAUCCUACCUUCCAUACCUUACCCUCUAUGACCCCUUUCACCACCACAUAUAUGUACACAUGUAAAUACGUACAUACAUAUACAUAUGUACACAUACACACAUAUAUACAUAUGUACAUAUAUGUGUGUGUGGAUGAGUCCUAUUGCCCACUGCCUACACCCCGUUGAGCCCAUGAGCCCCAACCUUAGCUCCUCUGGGGGUAUUCCAUCCCCUAGCAAAGAGGAAGAGGAGGAGGAGGAGGAGGAGGAAGGCCGUCGGCACAGUAUCAGGAAACUCUCUGAGACUCUGCCAUCUGCAACCCGCCCACCCUUCUUUGAGUUUGCCUCCAGAAGAGAGAGAGCUCUUGGCCCACGCACCCCACUCUCCCAACAGGAAAAAGAAAGCAAUUUUUAUGGUGGAAGAAGGAGGAGGAAACUGCAGGAAGCUGAGGCCCUACUUCGCUCCAGGCUUCGGAAGAGGUUCGAGCCUUGGUUCCCGGAGCUGACUCUUGGUAGGCCGGGGAAGGUGUUUGUUGUGAAUAUUUAGGGGUCGGGUUAAAGUUCCAGCUGGGAGCCCGGCGCUAUGGGAGGACCAGGAAACAGAAGGCGGCCACCCCCUCCAGUGAAGCCACCACGCAGAGAGGUAGUCCUCUGUGCCCCGUGCUGGGAUAAGGAAACUGAAGCAGGAGAGGUAAGGGAGAAGCAUAAACUCAGAUCAACAGUCAUCAUGGGCCCAAGCCAUAUUCCGUGUUUUCUGGGUCCCAGCGGGUCAUGUGAUCUUGGCACACAAGACUGUCCGCAGGGCAUCCACAACUCAGGAGGAAACACAGAAACUUCCGGGGUGAGAAGGCCACUCAGAAACCCCAGACCCUUACAGCCACACAGCUCAGGUCCCCGGAGGUCACUCCCCUUUCUGCUCUCCUUCCAAGACGGACAGCUCUCAUCAACCAUGAGAAGACCUCAGCUGCUCCCUGCUGCCACAAAACCACCUUUCGGUAGGAGUGGGGCCAGCCUGUCUUGGGGAUUGGUGUCUCCAGAUGAUGAAGCUUUACUGAACCCCCCUCAGCUCAGCUGCCCCAGCUUCCUUAGCAGGGAGACAGGCUGAGGUGUUGGGUCCCAAGGGGCUACCUUCUACUUGUCAGAGAGUGGCCCAGGAACUCUGAUCAUUCGGCAAUUUUCUUUCAGAUCCCUGUCACCUCCUCCCUCCAGGGGAAUAUGUGGUCUCUUCAGACCCCAAAGAGAAUAAUAUGUUGGAUUCGGGAUCAGCAGAUAUGAGCUCACUUCACUUCAACUCAGUUCAACAAGGUCUGACUCACCCUGGCUGCUGAGUUUGGCAACUGUGCCCUAGCCACAUCUCCAUGCCAGCCCUGGUCACUAAAGCUACCUCAGCUGUCCCCCAGAUCCUGAGGCUACUGUGGGUCAAGGCCGCACUUCACACACUUUCCCCAAACUCUACAUUCAAUUCAAAUCCAGGCAAGAGUGUGAGAUGCUUGACGCUGCCCCAAAGGGAAGGUCAAAGGUCAGGCUAUGGGGGUCUGGUGAUUCACAUUCCUGGCAGGUCGAACGACUCUUGCCCAAAAAAGCAAAGAUCACCACAAAAGAAAUAGCCUCUAUUUCUAUAGCUCUUAAAGGUAUAUAAAGCACUUUCUUCUCCAAAAACCAACCACAUAACCCCUCCAGUGAUACUCAGGUGUUGCAGAUUAUUAAUCCAGUUUCACAAGUGAGGAGAUUGAGCACUUUGCUGAGGGUCGGAUAACUUUGAAGCAUCACAGGGAACCAUGAUGUACUUCUCUAAACCUCACAAUUAAGGCCUCUUCUGGCGGGGCAGUGGAAAAGAGCACUGAGUUGGGAGUGCCCCUUUAUCACUUCCUAUCAACUGGAAGAUGGGGGCUCUGCCAGAUCUGCCAGCCUCUGGGGCCUAUUGUGGGGUGCCAGCAGGAGCAAGGACAGGAGGGCAAAGGUGAGAGAAACACCUAGAGGCGGUUUGGCCCCCCGUCUCCAGGAAGGGUGCUGCUGCAGUCACAUCCCAGGCUAGGGAUUCUUGGUGCAACACUCAGGGCUUUUGAGCUCCAAACUUUCCCUUCAAUCUGGUCUGUGUCUGGUAGAGAUAACCCACAGCCAAAUGGUAGCCCUGGCCAAGGGCACUAGUGAGGCCUCAUCCCUUUUAUCAGUGGUGUCAAAUUCAAAAAGAAAUGGGCACCAUUAAACCAUACAUAAGGGCAGCUAGGUGGCACAGUGGAUAGAGCGCCUGGCCUGGAGUCAGGAAGACUCAUCACCCUGAGUUCAAACAUGGCCUCAGAAUGAGCCGGAGAAGGAAAUGGCAAACCACUCUAGUAUCUUUGCCAAGAAAACCUCCAAAAGGGUCCCGAAAAGUUGGACAUGACUGAACAACAAUAAAAAAACAUACAGAAAGGAUCCCUGUGGGCCA